rnacentral:tRNA from 1 species
GGCUUUAUAGUCAAUAAUGAUAUUAGACUGCAAUUCUAAAGGAAUAAAUAAUUUAUUUAAGCUU